UUGGACUGAAGGGAGCGCCC
rnacentral:miRNA from 1 species